CCCGGUGGCACUAUUCAUGAGCAGUGUAAUGGCUAAAAUACCCCUUGGCGUCUUCUUUGUUACCCAUUGUCUUGCCUGCUUGGUACAGUGAGAUGACGUUUUUACCCAUCUUGGCCACGCGUUGAUCAUCGUUGGAUUGUAUGCUUUGGCUGGGUGUUCUAGAUGUUUUCUUCUGUCUGUGCUCUUUUCCUUCACAGAUCCAUAAUUUUUCUGCUCUCCAUCUUGGUCUCUCUUGCUAUCAAUUCUUCCUACUUUUUUUCUCGCAAAAACUGAUCGAAGCAAACCCAAUUCUUCGUUUUUUCAUUUUGGAAUUUUGUUUGCACCCACCAUCUGAGGAGUGGCUGAUUUUUUUAAACCUCUUGAAAGCUAGCUUUGUCAGCGUUUAGUGCAAACCUAUAAAUUGUGUUCUGAUUGUUUUAUCGAUCUUACGAUUCCUGCCCCAAAUCGUUUACAAUUGGAUUCAAUUUUAGUUUCCGACUGCGGAAUUAGGAUCUGACUGGAAGAGUUUUGUGUGUUUACCUUUCUCAUGGCACAAGAAGAGUGUAGAAUUAUUGUGAAGAGUGGUCUGCAGAAAAAGGGGGAAAAAGUUUGGAUAUGGAAGAAAGGGGGCACUGAGCACUUGCUUGGACAUAGGUUUUUAAUAUUUUGUACUAGCAUUAGACUUUGUGUGAAGAUAAAUUUCAUAUAUUUAUUUUUAGUUUUUAAAUAAGUGUCAGUGAUUUGUAUUAUUUCUAAUCUGAACACCACGUGUUCUUAUUUAUCUGUGUUGUUUAGCUGAAUUGAUGUAUAUAUCUUGCCAAUUAGGCUUAGGAUAAUGGAUUAGUUAGGGUUAUGUGCUUGAAAGGAUUUUUUUUAAUUGAAUCCUUUAUUUAACACA